rnacentral:rRNA from 1 species
UACGUAGGGGGCAAGCGUUGUCCGGAAUUAUUGGGCGUAAAGGGCUCGUAGGCGGUUUGUCGCGUCGGGAGUGAAAACCCAGGGCUCAACCCUGAGCGUGCUUCCGAUACGGGCAGACUAGAGGUAUGCAGGGGAGAACGGAAUUCCUGGUGUAGCGGUGGAAUGCGCAGAUAUCAGGAGGAACACCGGUGGCGAAGGCGGUUCUCUGGGCAUUACCUGACGCUGAGGAGCGAAAGCAUGGGGAGCGAACAG